CCGGAGGUGGGACGGAGGGAAAGGCGACGGACACCCGCCCCAGCCAAUCCGCGGCUCGCAGGAUCCCGUACGCCCCCCGCAGCGUCCCGCCCCCUGUAGGCCCCGCCCCUCUUUGUAAAAGCUUAAUUGACCAAGGCUGAAGAUCUAACUCGUUUUUUCGGGGUCGGAAGUUCCACUGACGUUCGCAAGUGGGAAGGGGGUCACCACUUCCCCCGACUGCAAACCACGUGUUUUACAGACAGAAGGGAAGGAGCAGCCUGCCCCUGUCGAGGAAAUAACAGGUCUCAAGACAAGAUGCUGCAGCUCCAGUUUGAGGCCUGUGAGAGAGGAGGGACACCUGACCUGGAUCCUCAGGGUCACGGAAAGAUGAAGCAGAUUACUAUCUCAAAAUGUGCUCGGCACGUAACAUGCUUCUUGUCGUUGGUGUCAGGAGUCUUGAUAUUUUACUGAGAUAACACAAAAGAUUUAGUAGAGAAGAGCAGAAUCUGGCUGGGAAAGGAAAUCCAUGUAUGGAGUUCACAUCCCGUCCGUCCCUAAAAUGGUAUCAAUAAAGCCCUCUGUCGUCCAUAGA